CUUGUAGCUUACCCCUAUAAAGCAUAGCACUGAAGACGCUAAGACGCUGCCACCUGCACCCAGGGAC
rnacentral:tRNA from 1 species